rnacentral:rRNA from 1 species
UACGGGGGGAGCAAGCGUUGUUCGGAUUUACUGGGCGUAAAGGGCGCGUAGGCGGGCGCGACAAGUCACUUGUGAAAUCUCUGGGCUCAACCCAGAACGGUCAAGUGAUACUGUCGUGCUAGAGUGCGGAAGGGGCAACUGGAAUUCUUGGUGUAGCGGUGAAAUGCGUAGAUAUCAAGAGGAACACCUGCGGCGAAGGCGGCUCACUGGACCGGAACUGACGCUGGAGGCGCGAAGGCGUGGGGAGCGAACGGG